ACAGCAGUAGCCGCGGUAAUACGUAGGGCGCAAGCGUUAUCCGGAAUUAUUGGGCGUAAAGAGCUCGUAGGCGGUUUGUCGCGUCUGCCGUGAAAGUCCGGGGCUCAACCCCGGAUCUGCGGUGGGUACGGGCAGACUAGAGUGAUGUAGGGGAGACUGGAAUUCCUGGUGUAGCGGUGAAAUGCGCAGGUAUCAGGAGGAACACCGAUGGCGAAGGCAGGUCUCUGGGCAUUAACUGACGCUGAGGAGCGAAAGCAUGGGGAGCGAACAGGAUUAGAUACCCCCGUAGUCCCUGUCUCUUAUAA
rnacentral:rRNA from 1 species